rnacentral:lncRNA from 1 species
GUUCUUGGUAUGUUAGUGGGUGUUGUGCACAUACAGGGUUAUAAAAACAAGUAUAGAAUACAUUGAGUUAGACAUGUUAAACAGAUUUAGUUUUGCUCAUGGCUUCUCUGCAGCCUUCACAAAGACUGUAGAACAAAGAAGCUCUCAGAUUUAUUGGAUCAAAGAAUUCCUUUAAAAAAAGAUUAUGAGGCAGGGACUCACUUUAGAGAAUAUGCUCGUUUCCAAUUUUUAAAUUUUAUUUAUUUUCUUGAAAAUUUGCAGCAUCUUUCUACCUUUUCCUGUUGAAAAAUUCUGAGCCUAUGGAAAAGUACAUGACCACUACAGUCCACAUACCCCAAUGAGAAUCACUAAUUUCUAACAUUUUAUCGCAUUUGUUCAUUUUCUUUCCCCAUUCCUCCUGCUCCCUGCCUUUUUCAAAUCCUGCAUGGUCUUUUUGCUUCCUGACGACAGAGAGGAUCUUGUGGAUGUCACUGAGAUAUGCUUGUUUGCCUUUGGAGAAAUAACUGUCCAUGCUUCAAUGCCAAUGCCCGUAGGAAGACUUUUCUUCUCAGCAACCCCCAGCUGACCAGUGUUACCUUGCAGAAUUUCCUGCAGCUAUGAAAAUGCUCCAUCACCCUACUGUCUAGUAUGAUUGCCACUAGGUACGUGCUGUGCACACAUGGGAUUUCGAAAAAGUGCAAUAAGAAUGUAAAA